rnacentral:rRNA from 1 species
UACGAAGGGGGCGAGCGUUGUUCGGAUUUACUGGGCGUAAAGGGCGCGCAGGCGGCUCAUUUUGUCAGGCGUGAAAGCCCCGGGCUUAACCUGGGAACUGCGAUUGAUACGGAUGGGCUAGAGUUCGGGAGAGGAGAGUGGAAUUCCCAGUGUAGAGGUGAAAUUCGUAGAUAUUGGGAAGAACACCGGUGGCGAAGGCGGCUCUCUGGACCGAGACUGACGCUGAGGCGCGAAAGCGUGGGGAGCAAACAGG